AACGAACGCUGGCGGCGUGCUUAACACAUGCAAGUCGAACGGGUUUAUUGGAUGUAGCAAUACAUUCAAUAGAUUAGUGGCGCACGGGUGAGUAACACGUAGGCAACCUACCCUUCAGUGGGGGACAACAGAGGGAAACUUCUGCUAAUACCGCAUACGGCCUUGUACUGGGAUGUACGAGGAGAAAGGAUUUAUUCGCUGAGGGAUGGGCCUGCGGCCUGUUAGCUUGUUGGUGGGGUAACGGCCUACCAAGGCGAUUAUGGGUAGCCGGGUUGAGAGACCGACCGGCCACACUGGAACUGAGACACGGUCCAGACUCCUACGGGAGGCAGCAGUGGGGAAUAUUGCACAAUGGGGGAAACCCUGAUGCAGCGACGCCGCGUGGAGGAUGACGGCC
rnacentral:rRNA from 1 species